GAAGCUAUAGAACGGGUGAGUUUA
rnacentral:piRNA from 1 species